AUCUUAGUCCUUCACGUUUUUGUUAUAUUAGUUUAAGAAAUCGUAGACAGUAUUAACGGAUUUUUUCGAAGUGUAUCACGCAAUAUUGCUUCAAUAUAUUUUUAUAACUAUCAUAAACAUCUAGAAAUUCAACGCACGGGAUUGAAGCAAAAGAAACGUAUUCUACUGAUAAUGAAACAUUAUUUAAGAGAUCUUAUUAAUUGGAAAUGUACUGCUACGUCUGAUUGCUGUGUAAAUCGCAGUAGUUGUAUCAAUGGUACAUAUCAAUGUGAUCCAGAUUAUAAUUUCGAUGGAAGUUUUACAAUAUGUAUUACAGGACAAUGGAAAAAUAGAUAAAAUAAUUCAACUCAAUAAUUGAGAAAAGUGUUUAAUUUAAGUGUUAAAAUGACUAGAACAAGCAUAGAACGUAUGAGCAAAUCACAGACUGGGAAUUGGGAAAAUACAAUGAUCUAAUUAGCUUAUUUUAUCUUUGACGGUGUAAACAAAUGACGGAGAAAUUGGAAUUUAAUCAGGAAUAAAACUUCUGGAUAAAAAUUUAGUAAUAUAUAAUUAUAUGUAAUGUAUUUCGAUUUUUGUUCUCGUCUUUCAAUCUUUCUUUCACAGGAACGUUUGCAAAACUUCGAUGAAUCGAUUUUCCAUUAAUCGAUGUUGUAACAAUCGAGCUUCUACUGUACUAUACGUUAGAACGAGUUAUCAGCGCGUAUGGUGACGAUUGCCAAGAAUCGAUGCAGUGCUCUGCGCAUUUAUCGAGAGGUAGAAUAUGCAGAAAUGGAAUUUGCGUAUGUGUUGAGGGAUAUUAUUAUAUACAUGGAAAAUGUCGUGCAUAUUUAGGAUUACUCGAAAAAUGCCAAGAAGACGGCGAUUGCUAUGUAAUCGGCCAUUUUCAAACCUCACGUUGCAUAAAUAACAUUUGCAACUGUAGUCCUGGAUAUUAUCAGCGAAAAUAUAGAACUUGUCGUCCAGGUGCGAAAGUGUAUGGCAAAAGAUGUAUCAUAAAUAACGAUUGCAAAGGAUGGACCAACAACUAUACUACGUGUUACGUUACAACUACGUGUAACAACUAUAUAUGUGAUAUUUCGCAGACACGUGAAAAUAUGUCAACACUCUUAUAUAAUAAUAAUAUUGACAAAAAAAAAAUACAAUCAAGAAAGGACAAGAAUGCAAAGUUUAGAGUGUACAUUUUUUAUCCUAAAGAGGAUACAAUAUUUAAAAGAAAUGUUCAAAGGAUGCGGACUGUAAAGAAUUUGGAGAUGCAACUUGCGGAUCUUUGAAAAUUUGUAGAUGUAAUCGUGGAAAUCUUUUCAACUAGAGAGAGAAAUGUAUUCCAGAACUUGGAAAACCAUGUGUAACUGGAGCAAAUGAAAUUCGAAUCGAAGGCUCGGAAUGUCGGAACGGCACAUAAACUGAAGAAAGUUGCUUAAGAUAAUAGAAAAUGUGAAACAGUAACUGUACAAUAUAACGGUACUUGCGAAAAUGAUGUGCAAUGUUAGGCUUUCGGGCUGGAUGCUAUCUGCAAAGAUAAACGAUGUGCUUGAAGUGAGAAAUCUCGGUUUAACGAGACUGAGUUGUUUUGUUGGACAGAAAGAGGGAUAGGUAAAUCGUGUCACCAAAACGUAGAUUGUUAUAUUGAUGGUAUCGACAGUGAUUUUGUGAUGUAAGGAAGUUAUGCUCCUGCCCAACCGGAACUCAUGCAACCAGUAAUAAGACAACUUGCGUGAAAGAUAUAACUGAUCUUGGAGAUAUUUGUGAAGUAGAUAACGAUCGUACAAAACGGAUCAAGAAUGCAAAAUGUACAGACAUGACUUGUGUUUGUAUAGAUAAUUAUUACGAGUUAAACAAGCAAUGCGUGCCUGGUCUCAAUUCCAGUAGUAUUUCCAAUGCUAGUUGUGUACCAAAAGAUUCAAUAUGCAGAUCUAAUGAUUGCAUUUGUAAGGAACAGUGCAUUGCUGAAUUAGUCAACAUGUGUGUUUAAGGUAAGAACCUUCUUUAAAAUAUAUAUCAAAAUGUAACAUAAGUCGUUUAUUUUUCGAAGCGAAAUUUUAUUGAAAAAAUGAUCAUAUUUGAUGGAAAUUCAUCGUUUUAAAUACAAAAGAUAGAUUUUCUUUUACAUCGUUUAAGAUACAUGGAAUAAUACAUAUGUAUGUAACUGCGAAUGUUUACGCAAAUUCAUGUUUUUAUGCAUCUAUAUAAUUAAAAAAGAAGAAUCUAAAUGAAGAUUUGUUUCACCUACUAAAUAUUAUGACUACUUUACUUUCGUUAUUCUAUGCAUUCUGUACAUUUUUGCACUUUUCAAUUCCUCAUAAAUGCACAAACAUCCGCAAGUCUAUAAAGAAUGUAACGUAAUAGCAAGAAAUACAAUUAUAUUUUUUUAGCCCUUUCGUAUGGAAAACCUUGCGAUAAAAAUAUUCAGCGUUUUGCUGCGACUUGUCCUGAAGGUUAUCAUUACAAGUUCAAGAAAUGUUUCAAACGCAAAGGUACGAAAAUAUAUAUGUCGGAGAAAGCUUCGAAGUAUGGGCGUCUGAUGAACCUUCACUCGAAUUCACCAUCGUGGUUAUGUAUUCUCGCUGAUCGUUAUUAGUUCCGAGGUGAUGAUUACAAGAGGUUACAGGUAAUAACGGCAAUCGGAAAAACGAGAGAUCGAUGACAAUGAACUUAGGUUCGAUACGAAUCCACGGCCACGGGAAGACGAAUCCGAUAUGAUACACGAUCCUGCUGUGACUCCCCGUACAAAUGGAACUGCCCUUGUAUAGUCUUCUCCCCACCUCUCGAGUCAAUCUUUGUUUUUAAGGAGAGCUGCAUAAUUAUUCCAUAUCUCUGUUGUUACAUGUUCGUCCCGUGACUCAUUAUGUCACCUCGAGCCCAAGCCCAUCGUCAUAAACCCUAAGUACACAUAAUCGGAUUAGCGUCUUACAACUAUUUCCUAUUUUUAUUGCUUAAGGGUAGCUACAAUAAAAGUCCGGGCUAGGGUAUUGGAGAUUUUCCUUAUCACUCCAAAAGAAAGGCCCCGAUGUCCUUUCAUCUCCGACAUGUACAUGUGUGCUGCGUAUAAUUUCAUGACUCGUUAAUUAACCUGUUAACAAGGAAAGGCGAAUUAAUGUUCACAAAUACACCCCAUUAAUUAAGAUUUUGUCGCGUCAAUCCCAACAUCUUUUUUUUUAUUGUGUUCGUGAGUAGCAAUUCGGAACUCGCAAUUUAUAUAUCUUCUCUUCGUAAUGUGAUAAAUAAUAGAUCGUAAAGAAAUUUUGCAUAUAAGAAAAAGCCAAAAUUUAAUCCCAUUCAAAUUAUUUCUGGCAAAGCUCUCUACAAUUAUUAAGUUCAAUUAUCUUUUUUCGUUGACAAUCAAAGAUAUAACGUUGUUCAUGGACUAAUUUCUAUCAGGCAAACGUUAAUAAUCGACUGGUAAUAAUUUCAUGACAAUUCAUAUUUCCAUUGCCGGAUGACUUAUUAAAUGCCGGAAAUUAUCACGUUCAUUUCAUGGGUUUAUUGCAAAAUCCGAAUAUUAUUCGCUUCUUUUUUAUCUCUCAUUCGAGAUGUAAUAUCGUCAUAUUUUGCCAUUACAUACCUAGGAAUUACUAGCUCGUGAUAUUUUACAUCUACGUAAUGAAAAAUGCGCAAGAGCAAACAGAAAAAUGACGAAUUUGCGAUCGUAGUCGUACAAUUAUCUAGAACCAGUUGAAUAAGACGUACAUCGAACAAACAAGUUGAAAAUGACAUUGGACAUCUAACAAUUCGCUGAAAAUUGUGCAGUGUUUGCAUUCAAAGGAAGUUUACAUGCACGAUGUUUAAACAAAUUUUCUUUCUUCAGCUAGUUGCAUGUAAAUUAAUAAAAAUACUUUUGUUCGCUGAAUUCUUUCAGUUCUUGGUAUGAACUGCGAGAAUCUCCGGGAAUGUUAUCUGAAUUCCGGGGUUGGAGCGGUCUGCAGGAACGGUCAGAGCGCAUGCGACUGGAAUUACAUUCAACGAAAUGACACUGUGUGCGACUUCAACAGUAAGUAACCUUGACUUGUGACCGAUUGGAAGGUUUCCUUGCAUUUGAUUCCCGACGGUACAAAAGAAACAGGGCGUUGAAGCUUUAACCAGUAGUUUUUUGGAUUGCACGUGGAACACUCCUAUGCGGUAAAAUAAUAUAACUAGGUAGCAAUUACCUUUCGACUGCUCGCAUGCCUUCUUGCAAAUAAGUUGCGUUGCAAUUUUUGCGAUUGUAGAAGGCGAUAAGACGUAUUGGCAAGACUACGUAAACCAUCUGAAACGAAUCUUUUCGCAUAAGAACAAGAAAUAAUAAUAAUAUUCCUUGGAACUGCAUAUGUUUUCGUGCUUGCCAUAUUCUCAUU